AUUCACACGUCCGUGUGUGUUUUGCGGAUCCGCAAAACACGGACUCCGGCAAUGUGCGUUCCGCAUGUUGCAGACUGCACAUCGCAGGCACUUAAUAAAAAAUGCCUAAUCUUUUUUGUUUUUGUCUGCA